AGAAGAGGCAACCAAUUCAACCGGAAGGUAAAAUGUGCAUAGGCAGAUUAGUUCAAAGUUCACUUAUUCAUACUUGACCGUACUGCUAUAGCAGCAACUGUUUAAACGAAACCAACACAUCUCACAACUGUUUAAACGAAACCAACACAUCUCACAACUGUUUAAACGAAACCAACACAUCUCACAACUGUUUAAACGAAACCAACACAUCUCACAGGGACUCGAUGGUCCAUGAAACCAGACACGGUAGGACUUGACACAAACGAGACUUAACACUUCACACGAGCGACAGGGGCACCCACCAGAGUACUCAGGGCAUUUACUGACCACCGCGGAGGCGGAGCACCAG
rnacentral:lncRNA from 1 species